rnacentral:rRNA from 1 species
UACGUAGGUGGCAAGCGUUGUCCGGAAUUACUGGGUGUAAAGGGCGAGUAGGCGGGACUGUAAGUCUGGCGUGAAAUCUGGUGGCUUAACCACCAAACUGCGUUGGAAACUAUGGUCCUUGAGUGAUGGAGAGGCAGGCGGAAUUCCCGGUGUAGCGGUGGAAUGCGUAGAUAUCGGGAGGAACACCAGUGGCGAAGGCGGCCUGCUGGACAUUAACUGACGCUGAGGAGCGAAAGCGUGGGGAGCAAACAGGAUUAGAUACCCUGGUAGUCCACGCUGUAAACGAUGGAUACUAGGUGUGGGGGGUCUGACCCCUUCCGUGCCGGAGUAAACACAAUAAGUAUCCCACCUGGGGAGUACGGCCGCAAGGUUGAA